rnacentral:lncRNA from 1 species
AUUUAAAAGUAACAAUAACUUGAAGAACAAAAUGUAUAAGACUGAGAAUAUUUAUGAUUUGUGGUAUAAGAUAUAUUUAACUUAUUGUCACAAAAAACAUAAUAAAAAAAUACAUACUUUGUUUCAAGAACAUUAAAAAUCACGUUAAAAAUUUUAACAUUUUAAGAAAAAUUAUGAAUCAAUAAUACUAAUAUAAAAUUUUAUUCGAAAAACUCAACACUAAAUGCAUAAACAAAAAAACAAACAAACCCUAAACCCUAUAAUCCUAAGCAUUAUUCUAAACCAAACAUUAAACCCAACCCAAACCAAACGCUAAACCUUUCCUACUACCUAAACCCUAAAUCCUACCUAACUCUAAACCCUACCUAAACCUAGACCUUAACCCUAUCUAACCCUAAACCCUACAUAAACCUAACCCUAAUCCCUAAACCCUUCAUACUACCAAAAUCCUAAACCUAUCUAACCAUAAACCUACUUAACCCUAACCCUAAACCCUAUUUAACCCUAAACCCUAUUUAACCCUAAACUCUACCUAACCCUAAAACCCUACCUAAAACCUAACCCUAAACCCUACCUAACCCUAACCCUAAACCCUACCUAACCCUAAACCCUUCUAACCCUAAACACUACCUAACCCUAUCCCUACAUAACCCUAAACCCUACUAACCGUACCUAAUUUAAAACCUUCCUAACCCUAAACCCAUUCUAGCCCUAAACUCUACCUAACCCUAAACCCUACUAACCUUAAACCCUACUAACCCUAAACCCUACCAAACCCUAAACCCUACCAAAUUCUAAACCCUACCUAACCCUAAACCCUACCUACCCUAAUCCAUUUCUAACCCUAAACCCUACCUAACCCUAAACAUGACCUAACCCUAAACCUUACCAACCCUAAACCGUUUCUAGCCCUAAAUCCUACUAACCCUAAACCUUUCUAACCCUAAACCAUGCUAACCCUAAACCCUACCUAAUUCUAAACCCUACCUAACCCUAACCCUACAUAACCCUAAACUCUACUAACCCUAAACCCUACCUAACCUAAACCUUACCUAACCAAAACCCUACCUAACCCUAAAACCUUUCUAACCCUAAACCCUUUCUAGCCCUAAACCCUACUUAACCAAAAACCCUACUAACCCUAAACCCUACUAACCCUAAAUCCUACCUAAUUCUAAACCCUACCUAACCCUAAACUCUACCUAACCCUCAAUCCUACCUACCCUAAACCAUUUCUAACCCUAAACCCUACCUAACCCUAAACCCUACCUAACGCUAAACCCUACCUAACGCUAUAUCCUUUCUAACCCUAAACCCUUCCUAACUCUAAACCCUGCCUAACCCUAAAUACCCUACCUAACCCUAAACCCUUUCUAACCCUAAACCGUACCUAAUCUUAAACCCUGCUAACCCUAAAUCCUGCCUAAACCUAACCCUACCUAAACGUAACCAUAAAUCCCAUCUAAUGCUAAAACUCUACCAACCCUAAACACUAAAAAAUAAUCUCAAAACUUAAAGCUAAAAAAACCUAAACUCUACCGCUAUGUAAUUUGUUGUUGUGAUAUUCAAAUAACAAAUUACAUAACGGAUUUUAAAUUUUACAUCUAUUAUUUUAAUUGCUAAAAUAUUUUGAAAGUUGUAUCUUAUAAAUAAAAAAUGUAAAUUAUAUUUUAAUAACGUUAAAUUUUGUUAAAAUAGAAUGAAAAACUAUUAUCAUAAAUAAAUAAUGAAUUUUGAUGAAAUUUAAAAAUCUUUGAAUCAAUAACAAUUAAUUAGUAAUAUUUCAAAAACCCUUAAACUAUUAUAGCAGUAGAAUCUCAAAAAAAAAAAAAAUUAAAGUUCUCAAACAUUUAUUUGCCAAUAACCAUCCUUAAAUCUUUGCUUAUUCACAAAAAAUAAUAUUCUUUACAUAAAUUAGAAACAAGUUUUGUUUUUUGACUAGAGACCCAAGUUUAAAUUAUACUACUAAAAUAUUUUAAUAUUUAAUUAUUAAGAAAUAACAAGUUAAUGUUCUUAAAACAAUAACCAUCCUUAAAUCUUUGCUCAUUCAAAAAAAUAAUAUUUUUUACAUAAAUUGGAAACAAGUUUUGUUUUUUGACUAGAGACCCA